ACCCGCUGAACUUAAGCAUAUCAAUAAGCGGAGGAAAAGAAACCAACAGGGAUUGCCCUAGUAACGGCGAGUGAAGCGGCAACAGCUCAAAUUUGAAAUCUGGCGUCUUCGGCGUCCGAGUUGUAAUUUGCAGAGGGCGCUUUGGCAUCGGCAGCGGUCCAAGUUCCUUGGAACAGGACGUCACAGAGGGUGAGAAUCCCGUACGUGGUCGCUAGCCUUUACCGUGUAAAGCCCCUUCGACGAGUCGAGUUGUUUGGGAAUGCAGCUCUAAAUGGGAGGUAAAUUUCUUCUAAAGCUAAAUACUGGCCAGAGACCGAUAGCGCACAAGUAGAGUGAUCGAAAGAUGAAAAGCACUUUGGAAAGAGAGUUAAAAAGCACGUGAAAUUGUUGAAAGGGAAGCGCUUGCAGCCAGACUUGCCUGUAGUUGCUCAUCCGGGUUUUUACCCGGUGCACUCUUCUAUAGGCAGGCCAGCAUCAGUUUGGGCGGUUGGAUAAAGGUCUCUGUCAUGUACCUCUCUUCGGGGAGAACUUAUAGGGGAGACGACAUGCAACCAGCCCGGACUGAGGUCCGCGCAUCUGCUAGGAUGCUGGCGUAAUGGCUGU
rnacentral:rRNA from 1 species